CAGUGUGGUACUAUGCACUGAUACGGUGCGCAUGUGUGGGGAUAAUGAUCGCGGAUGUGGAAACUAGCAUUUGUUAUAUGCAAAUUAUAAGGUAUGUGGUCGUAUUAUGGUGGUAUUCUAUUAUGUAUAUAUGUUAUGUACAGUGUAAUUAGUUCAGUGACUCUUGUGUAUUAUACCAACACCUGAAGUGAUGAUGUCACUUCUGGGGUUUCUUGUAAUUACAUACUGUUGGCCAUCAGCUGUAUGGGGGCUUUAUAAGCAGGCUCAUGAGGACACAGAUACUGGUACCCUUGAUAAAGGCAACCAGUUGGUGUCGAAAUGUUGGGGUAGUUGGUGGCUUGUGUUUCUGCCUUGAGGCUUGUAAGAUUUGGGUAAAGUACUUUUGAUUACUGUUGCCUUGUGCUGUUACUUUGUUCCUG